UGGCGGCACUAGCGCGGUGGUCCCACCUGACCCCAUGCCGAACUCAGAAGUGAAACGCCGUAGCGCCGAUGGUAGUGUGGGGUCUCCCCAUGGUGAGAGUAGGGAACUGCCAGGCA
rnacentral:rRNA from 1 species